rnacentral:rRNA from 1 species
UACGUAGGGUCCGAGCGUUGUCCGGAAUUAUUGGGCGUAAAGGCUCGUAGGCGGCCAACUAAGUCAUACGUGAAAUCCCUCAGCUUAACUGGGGAACUGCGUGUGAUACUGGAUGGCUUGGAUUUGGGAGAGGGAUGCGGAAUUCCAGGUGUAGCGGUGAAAUGCGUAGAUAUCUGGAGGAACACCGGUGGCGAAGGCGGCAUCCUGGACCAACACUGACACUGAGGAGCGAAAGCCAGGGGAGCAAACGGG